rnacentral:rRNA from 1 species
UGGGGAAUAUUGCACAAUGGGGAAAACCCUGAUGCAGCGACGCCGCGUGGAGGAUGAAGGUCUUCGGGUUGUAAACUCCUUUUAUUGGGAAAGAUUAUGACGGUACCCAAUGAAUAAGCCACGGCUAACUCUGUGCCAGCAGCCGCGGUAAGACAGAGGUGGCGAGCGUUGUUCGGAAUUACUGGGCUUAAAGGGCGAGUAGGCGGUGGGACAAGUCUGAUGUGGAAUCUUAGGGCUUAACCCUAAAACUGCAUUAGAAACUGUUUUACUUGAGUCAGUGAGGGGAGGGCGGAAUUCCCGGUGUAGCGGUGAAAUGCGUAGAUAUCGGGAGGAAGGCCGGUGGCGAAGGCGGCCCUCUGGCACUGUACUGACGCUGAGGCGCGAAAGCGUGGGGAGCAAACAGG